UCCACCAGAUUGUCUUCUUAUCCUCAUGUAUCCAUCCUCACCCCAAUUUUUACCCCAAGAAUUCUUAAUCAACCAAUAUUUCAACCCUUCUUCAGUUGUCCCAUAACCAACUAUAGUAACUGCAUGGGUGUUUUCUGUUCCACAGGAACCUGAAUAAACACCUUCCUCGUAUGCCUGAAAUUCAGGGCUGGGAGAGAUAGAAACUGUUACUGGUUGUUGUGUCACUGCUGCUAGUAACUGCUCUUCAUCAUUUUGCUUUAUAUAUUUGUAAGAACUUAUGUAAGCAUCAGGCUCACUAUAUUCAUUUAAUUGGCAGGUUUGAACACGUGCUUGGUAGGGAUAAUCAGCUUCUUGAAGAACGCCAUCGCUGUCUAUAAUGGCUUGGAAGCCGUUAUCAAAACUACCACUCACACAACCCUCGCUCUUUUUAUCACAGUCAAUUAGUUGUUGCUCUGACAAUGGCACCAGAAUUCCCUCGCUUAUUUGAUAGACAGCUUCUACAGCAGCCACAGAUGCAAAAGCCCAACAAGCUCCUACAACCAAAAUCCACAAGAAUACUUUCAUUUCUUAUGGCUAAAUUCAAAAUUUACUAAAAAAAACAUAAACAAUAGGAUUAUCUUAUUUACCACAUUUUUUUUAUCUUUAAUAUCGGUCACAGCUCCCUUCAAUCUCCAGUCUAAAUAGUCUAAAUAUGGUGGACUAAUAGAUGUCAAGUUAAAGAGUAUUGUAUUUGAUCUUAUUUGGGAUGAAUUAAGAUGGCUUGGUGCUUUGAAUCCAUUAUAAGAUGCAAUAAACUCUUCAUUAGUUAAAUCAGAAUGUGGAUUUAAACCAAGUGUAUAACUUUUGUUACCAGCAUUAUUAAACUUUUCUAUGUAUUCAAAUUUCUCUUUGAAUAUCUGGAAACGCUUCUCCAUCUCUAAA
rnacentral:lncRNA from 1 species